UAGCCAACUAAUGCAGCAGUGAGUCACCGCAGGGAGACGUCUUGGAGCAUUGGAUCCUUCAGGUCAUCUCCAUAUGGCACCCAUGUUCGUUCGUCCGCGACUAGUAGGAUGCGACCUUGUUGAAGGACAACAUGGAUAUGACGUCCCUCCCGAGAAGCGACAGCAAACAGGGAUCAAAUAUUUGGGCCAAACGAAGCCAAGUAAAAGUUCAGUGCAAACAUACCUAUAACAGCAAGCAGAGCAUAUUUUUGUUCAGCAAACUUUGAAGAUUUGCUCGACGAAGAGGCUUGGAGGCAAGGUACAUCUGUUCAUGUACAGUACAUGCAAAGUAGACGCAGAUAUCUUCAAUAGUCAUCACAA
rnacentral:sRNA from 1 species